rnacentral:lncRNA from 1 species
UCUGCACACUGGAUUCGUGCCCUCCCCCAACUUCUGGCUGGGAGGCUUCUCACCCAGUUCAAAUUAUUACAAAGCUCAGCUGGAGAUUUCCUUCUCCCUGUGAUGUUUUUCCCCACUCCUCUGGUUGCCCUCCUGAUGGAUCCCUGUGGUGCCAGGCAGGAAUGGCCUGUUUGGGGACCCAGUGAGCUCUCAGUGCCUUUCUUGCUGCUUCCUCCACCCCUGUAUUUCACUUGGCUCUCUAAAUUGACUCAGCUCC